UACGUAGGUGACAAGCGUUGUCCGGAAUUAUUGGGCGUAAAGAGCGUGUAGGCGGUCCGGUAAGUCAGCUGUGAAAGUCAAGGGCUCAACCCUUGAAAGCCGGUUGAUACUGUCGGGCUAGAGUCCGGAAGAGGCGAGUGGAAUUCCCGGUGUAGCGGUGAAAUGCGCAGAUAUCGGGAGGAACACCAAUGGCGAAGGCAGCUCGCUGGGACGGUACUGACGCUGAGACGCGAAAGCGUGGGGAGCAAACAGG
rnacentral:rRNA from 1 species